CCGAGUUUACAACUCCCAAACCCCUGUGAACAUACCACUUGUUGCCUCGGCGGAUCAGCCCGCUCCCGGUAAAACGGGACGGCCCGCCAGAGGACCCCUAAACUCUGUUUCUAUGUGUAACUUCUGAGUAAAACCAUAAAUAAAUCA
rnacentral:misc_RNA from 1 species